CCCUUAGAUGUUCUGGGCUGCACGCGUGCUACAAUGGCGCUUGCAACAAGUCUUGCCAACCCGAUAGGGUGAGCGGAUCUUUGAAGAGGCGUCGUGAUCGGGACAGUUGAUUGCAAUUAUUCGACUCGAACGAGGAAUUCCUUGUAAUCGCGAUUCAUCAUAUCGCGCUGAAUACGUCCCUGCCCUUUGUACACACCGCCCGUCGCUCCUACCGAUUGAGUGCUCCGGUGAACAAUUUGGACUGCUUUGAUUCGAUUAGAAUUUGAAGCGGAAAGUUUAGUGAACCUUAUCACUUAGAGGAAGGAGAAGUCGUAACA
rnacentral:rRNA from 1 species